rnacentral:tRNA from 1 species
GGGAAUGUGGCUCAGUGGUAGAGUGCUUGCCUUGCAUGCAUAUGGCCCUGAGUUUGAUUUCUCUGUACCA